UCUGUUAUUUCUCAUUUACAUUUAAGGAAACAGAGUCAAAUGUCAAGUGACCUGCCCAGGUCACACAGCUAAUAAGGGUCUGAUACAAGAAUUAAAAUUUAAUUUUUCUGAGCCAAGAUUCUAUCCACUGCACAACCUAGAGAUUUCUGACUGGAAACCUAGCUUUGGUAGGACAAAUGCUCAUGUACAACAGUAGCUUUUCCACCAUUACUGUUAUUUCUUAAAUGAAUACCGCUCCCCCCACCCCAAUUAGAAGUGACCUGUCCUUCCCCUUACCUCACAGCUGCUUUUCCCCUACUUUACCAGAAUUUGUCCACAUCACUUAUUACCCCAAAAUGACAAGCUCCUUAUGGGCCUUAGGGGUAGAUAACUUCAUCUACCAGCACAGAUUGUAACCUUUAUGAUGACAGUCCCCAAAUCUACACAUCCAGUCUCCCAUCUUAUUAUCUCUGACUCUUCCUCAUUCCUCUACAUCCAAUAAACUGCGUCUGAACUAUCUCUUAAAUCUUCCAGUAAAGUAGAAGCUUCUUGAGAUCAGAAGCCAUUUUUAGUUUUGCCUUUGUGUUCCUGGCUCCUAGCAUAAAGAGUACCUUGUACAGAGCAGGAGCUUAAUAAAUGUUUGCAGGAGGAAGAGCGAGGUGGUGCAGUGGAUAGAGCACCCGCCCUGAAAUCAGGAGGACCUGGGUUCAAAUUUGACCUCAGACACUUAACACUUCCUAGUUGUGUGAUCCUGGGCAAGUCACUUAACCCCAUCUGUCUCCGCAAACAACAACAAACAUAAGCUUGCAGGACUGGGCUGUGCUUCCUUUCCAUACCCAUGAAUCACCACUGGUCUCUUUUGCUCUCCCAUUCAUCCUUUAUAAGGCUGCAAAAACAACUAAAGCACAGGACUGCCCUGUUCUGGGGCUCCUAAAGGUCCCUAGCCAGUGGAGGACACAGCUCUCCAACCCACCAUUCCAGUCGUACUGUCCCUGGCUCCCCUUUAUAUACAGCCCAUUCUGGUCAAACGAGACUAACCCUUCACUAAUCUCCAUUUGUCUUCUCCCACCUUCGUGUCUUGUAUAUGGGCUGUGCCUCUCAUGUGGAAUGUUCUCUCCACAACUCCACCUAUUGCAAACCUCUCUUCCUUCAAGAUCCAGCUCCUCUCUAUCCUUUCCUCCAGCGGGAAAGUGAUCUCUCCUUCCUUUUACUGUGCUUGUGGACACAUGGCAUACACCAUCCCUAGAGCAUAAGCUCCUUGAAAAAAGGGCCUGUUCUUCAUCCCAGCAUUUCCAGAGUCAUGUUCAGUGUCUUGCAUAUAGAGUUUCUCUAGUUGAAUUUGCAUCUUUCCAGCACCCAGAGUGCUGCUCAGAGCAGGUAAUAAAUGUUUAAUGAAUGAAUCAUUAUUUCUCUACUUUACCUACUGUAACCCUCACCAUCCCAUCUUUCACUAAGCAAUAGAUGCAACAACUUGGAGGUUCACUAACUAUACCUUCUAACUUUUCUCCUUAAUAUUCCAUGAAUAUAUCAGCCAUCACUGAAAAGGAAGAGGAAAGAUUAAAUAUGGGCACUACUGUGUGUAUAUAUAUAGACACACUUGAAUUUAAUGUAUUCCCUAAACUAAGCCUCUUAUACUUACCUCUCUCCCCCUCUUAAGAGCCUCAUACCAAAGCUUAAGUGAAGGAAAAAGCAAGGAAGAAAAUCUUUUCUUCUCAGAAUUUCCUUCUUUUUAAAAUUUAAAUGGUAUUUUUUUCAAAUACAUGCAAAGAUAGUUUUCAACAUUCAUCUUUGCAAAACCUUGUGCUCCAAAUUGUCUCCUCUUCUGUCCCCAGGCUCCCCCUUCCUGCUCCCCAAGAGAGCAAGCAAUGCAACAUAGGUCGAACAUGUGCAGUUCUUCUAAACAUAUUUCCAUUUUCAUCAUGCUAUGCAAAAAAGAAAAAAAGGGGGGGGAGGAAAGGAUGAAAACAAAACAACAAACAGCAACAACAAAAAUAUUAUCCUUCACAUUCAGUCUCCAUUGUUCUUUCUCUGGACAUGGAUAGCACUUUCCAUUACAAGCUACAACUACCUUGAAUCACCUCAUUGUUGAAAAGAGUCAAGUCCAUCACAAUUGAUCAUCACAUUAUCCUAUUACUGGGUUCAAUGGAGAACUUUAUUAUUUUUUUAAAAAAUUAAUUUAAUAUUUUCUCCCAAUUAUGUUCCAAACAAUUUUCUUUUUACAUUUGUUUAAGAUUUUUGAGUUCUAUGUUCUCUGCUUAUCACCACCCACAAUUAAGAAACUGCAUGAAGUUAUGCAAAACAUUUCCAUUAUAGUCAAAUUGUGAAAACAGAUCUCCCACCCUAAUGAAAAUAAAAACUCUCAAGAAAAAUUAAGUUAAAAAUAAAGAGAAAGAUAGAAUAAUAGAGAAUGUUUCGAUCUCUAUACAGACUCGAUAACUUCCUUCUCUGGCUAUGGAUAGAAUUUGUCACCAUAUGUCCUUUCGUACAGUUAUACAUGAUUAUACUGAGAAUAGCAAAGUCAUUUACAGCUGGUCAUCCCAGAACAUUGUUAUUACUUUGUAUACAGUAUAUUUUCACUUGAUUCAUGGAAGACUUUCCGGGUUAUUUAGUUUUCUUCCUAAGAGUAUCCUGCUCAUCAUUUCGCAGAGAAUAUUAUUUCAUUAGAGUAACUUGCUUCAAAAUUUUUUUAAUAAAUACUAUUACUAGUUCUAUUCUCCCCCUCCCCCCAUAUAUUUUCUCUCUCUUUGUGCCCUGUCUCUCCUCAAAAAUGUUUUGCUACUAAUAUGCUGUCUCUUUUUAUCAUACUCUUCCAUUCCCAAAUCCCAUUCCCCUUUCCUAUUUUCCUGCAGGAUAAGAUAGAACUUCUAUACUUGUAUUGAGUAUGUAUGUUAUUUCCUAUUUGAGCCAAUUCUGAUGAGAGAAAGGUUCACUCACAUUCCACUCUCUCUUCCUUCUCUUUCUUUACAAUAAGAGCUUUUUCUUGCCUCUUUUUUUUUUUAAUGGCAGAUAAUUUGUACCAUUCCACUUUUCUCUUUCUCUUUCUCCCACUCCAUUCCUCUUUCAUCCCUUAAUUUCAUAAUUUUUUUAGAAAAGAUUUUAUCCCUUCACAUUCAACUCAUACUCGUGUCCUCCAUCUAUAUACCUGCUAACUUUCAUAAUGAAAACAUUCUAAUGCAUCAUCCUUCCAUGUAGGAAUGUAAACAAACCUUAUUAAUUCCCUUAUACUACAUCACUUCCCUAUGCUUCUUGAGUUUUGUAUUUGAAAAUCAAAUUUUCCAUCCAACUCUUCUUGUCAUCACAAAUGCUUGUAAAUCCUGUUUCAUUGAAUGAGCAUUUUUUCCUCUGAAGGAUUAUACUCAAUUUUGCUGGACAAGUGAUUCUUUGUUGCAACUCUACCUCCAUUGUUCUCCAGAAUAUCAUAUUCCAAGUCCUCUGGUCCUUUAAUAUAGAAGGUCCUAAAUCUUGUGUUACCCUGACUGUGGUUCCACAAUACUUGGAACUGCUUCUUUCUAAAUGUUUGCAAUAUUUUCUUCUUGACCUGGGAGUUCUGAAUUUUGGUUAUAAUAUUUUGGGGAAUUUUUAUUUGGGGAGCUCUUUCUGGAAGUGAUUGGUGGAUUGUUUUAAUUUAUAUUUUAUUCUCUGGUUCUAGAAUAUCAGGACAAUUUUCAUUGAUAAUUUCUUGAAAGAGAUAACUGUAUAAAUAUGUAUACAUAUAUUGGCUUUAACAUGUAUUGCAAUAGAUUUAAUAUGUAUUGGAUUACCUUCUAGCGAGGGAAGGGGUUGGAGGGAAGGAGAGGAAAAUUUGGAACAAAAGGUUAUGCAAGGGUCAAUGUUGGAAAAAUUACUCAUGCAUAUGCUUUGUAAAUAAAAAACUUUAAAAAAAUUACAGACAUCAUUUUCCCAUCUUAAAAAAAAUCAAUGUUAAAAAUAAUUAAAACUAUCUUUUUGUAGAAGCCUUUUCUAAGCCUCUCCUCCAACUGCUGCUGCCCUCCCCCCCAAACUAACUUGUACUAUAGUCUUGUUUUUGUUUGUAUUUAUUUAUCUUAUCUUCAUGCUGGGUGUGUAUUAGCUAUCUUUUAAUUCUUUAAUUCUUAAUUCAUUCUUCUUGAUUCCACAGGGCCUGGUGGAGAGUACAUACUUAUUAGUUGAUUGAGAUCAUCCUCCAAUCUCUUUUUACUUCAACUUGCACCCCCCAUCUCCUUUCCUCUGGUCUUCUCCAGCACGGCACUUUUUCAAUUGUCCCACUCUCCUGGAUAUGACCCUUCUCUCUUCUCUGCAUUUUCUUGCCCAGGGUUCAGUGAUGAAUUUCCCCUUCAACCUAUCUGACCACUCCUCAUUUUCUUUCUUUGGCUCCUAACUAUGGGCAUUCCCUAGGCACCUAUCCAGGGGCCCUUUUCUCUUGUAUUAGUGAUCUUUUUGCCCCCUCUGGAUUUAGCUAUUAUUAUGCAAAGUACUUCUAGAUUUAUAUAUCUAGAAAUAGUUUUUCUCUUGGGCCCCAAUAGUACAUCACUGACAUUUUAAAUUAGAUGUCUUAUGGGCACCUCAAAAUCAACAUGUCAAACGAAAAUUCAUUUUCUUUUCUCCCAAGACCACCCAUCUUCAGAAUUUUCUAUUACUUUGAAAGGCAACACCAUCGUCCUAGCCGUCUAUCUCAGGUUUGCAAGUUCAACAUUACUCUUGAUUGUUGGCCUUCCUCACACCAUCUAUAAUCAGUUACCAAAUCCUGUCAUUUCCUCCUCUCUCUCAUUCAUUUACUCCCUUGCUGUGCCCCUCGUCACUUCCCUCCCUCCCUUCUCUCAUCCAUCCUCCAUACAGCUUAUGUGUACAGGGAUCUGACCAUUUUAGUUCCUAUCUCUAACUAACAACUUCAACAGCUCCCCUGGUUUCAAAUACAAACUGCUCCAUGGUCCGUGGACCUUCCCACUUGCUGGGCUCCCUUUCUCACUCUCUGCCUCCAGGUACCCGCACUUCCUCCUCACCAGCUCUGAAUCCCUUCUUUCUUUCAAAACUCAUCCCAAACACCAUUUUCUACAUGAAACCUUUCCGGUUCCCCAGGGCUACGCCUCUGACUCUUAUCCAUCUGUCACUUCCCUCAAAAGAAGGGAAGCUUCUUAAAGGUGAUAACUCUGGGGUCCCGGAGCUCCCCUAUGCCUCAGCAAAGGAGACAGACUUGAGAGCUGUUAUAGAUAGAACCUCUCUAUAGGGUAGAGGGUCUAACGUGGGAGACAAUCCAUGGCAAUACCGUUGAUAAAAUUGGUUAGGCCAAGAGGAGCUAGUUUGGGAAGGGAAAAUCACAAGUUGUAUUUGAGAGGGCAACAAGAUACUCAGAAAGAACUAUCCUAAAGCAGUUGGAGGUGCAACUCCCAGACACUGGAUCACAGACUUUAGAGCAGGUAAAGAAGUGAGACCCAGGGAAGCUAAGUAACAGGCCUACAGUCACACACAUAAGUGGCAGGACUGGGAUGUGCAUAUAGGCUCACUUUUUCCAAGCUUUGGUUAGGGGUGACUAGUUAGCUUUCUCAGAGAUCUUGAAAAGAUUAAAAUGGAAUGAAUAAAUGCUAUCUCUUUUCACUCUAAUACAUAUGGGGAUCCCUCCACUAAUCACCAUGUCAUGCUGAUCUAUUCCCAAGUUCACAAGGUGGAGAGGGGAGGUGGUUAUCAGAGAAACAGUGACUGAUAUUCUGAGUCAUUUUUGGAAGCUAAUUUAGAUCAGAACUCUUAAGAGUAUGAAUCUCAAUUCUACCACUUCGCUAUUCUGCUAAAAAUCAUGAUAUAAUAUCUUAAUUGUGAUACUUGCUUUUUAACAAUUGCUUUUUCAUUCAUUUAAAAAAGUAGAAAUGAAGGGCACCUAGGAUGACCAGAUUUCAGAUUAUAUUUAAAAACAAUUAACAUAGAAACUACCUAGUACUGGCUAAAAAAUAAAAGUAAAAAAAGCAGAUCAACAGAAUGAAGAGAUGAGGAAAAUCUGAAAGCACAAAAUGAAUUCAAUGACCCAGUGGUCAAUAAAUUCUAUGCUGGCAUUUUACAUCACACACCAAAACAAAUUCCAAAUGCAUAAGUAAUCUAAUGUAAAAUGUCACACCACACAAAAAUAAGAACUUUUAGAUCUGUAGCUAGGAGAAUUCUUAAGCAAACAAGAUACAGAGGAAAUUAUAUGAGACAAAAUCGACAAGUUUUUAUUAUAUAAAAUGUUAAAACUUUCACACAAACAAAAUUAAUGUAAUUAGAACAAGAACCUGUCAAGUGGGGAAACAUUUGUAUCAAGUAUCUCAAAAACAGGAACCUAAGAUCUAAGAUCCAUAGAAAAGUGACAAAUAUAUUAUGGGUAAGUUAUUUUCUAGUAGUUAAAUAGUCAAAGGAUGUGAAAAGUUUGAAAAGGAAAUGUAAACUCAAUUUUUCAUCUAUAAAACAGGGGAAUGAAUUAGAUGGUUUCUGAUGUCCGUUCAAAGCCAAGGACUGUAAGAUCAGCCACUGUAAGAAAGAAUGCUCCAAAUGAAUCCCUAGUUAAAGUGCAAAUUUUUUUUUUUUUACUAUUUUUUUUAAUUUAAUAAUUACUUUAUGUUGACAGAAUCCAUGCCAGGGUAAUUUUUUUUUUUUUUACAACAUUAUCCUUUGCACUCGUUUCUGUUCCAAUUUUUUUCCCCUCCCUCCCUCCACCCCCUCCCCUAGAUGGCAAGCAGUCCUUUAUAUGUUGGAUAUGUUGCAGUAUAUCCUAGAUACAAUAUAUGUUUGCAGAACCGAACAGUUCUCUUGUUGCAUAGGGAGAAUUGGAUUCAGAAGGUAUAAAUAACCCGGGGAGAAAAACAAAAAUGCAGAUAGUUCACAUUCGUUUCCCAGUGUUCUUUCUUUAGGUGUAGCUGCUUUUGUCCGUCAUUUAUCAAUUGAAACUCAGGUUCUCUUUGUCAAAGAAAUCCACUUCCAUCAAAAUAUGUCCUCAUACAAUAUCGUUGUCGAAGUGUAUAAUGAUCUCCUGGUUCUGCUCAUUUCACUUAGCAUCAAUUCAUGUAAGUCUCGCCAGUCCUCUCUGUAUUCAUCCUGCUGGUCAUUUCUUACAGAACAAUAAUAUUCCAUAACAUUCAUAUACCAUAAUUUACCCAGCCAUUCUCCAAUUGAUGGGCAUCCAUUCAUUUUCCAGUUUCUAGCCACUACAAACAGGGCUGCUACAAACAUUUUGGCACAUACAGGUCCCUUUCCCUUCUUUAGUAUCUCUUUGGGAUAUAAGCCCAAUAGAAACACUGCUGGAUCAAAGGGUAUGUACAAUUUGAUAAUUUUUUGGGCAUAAUUCCAGAUUGCUCUCCAGAAUGGUUGGAUUGUUCACCAACAAUGCAUUAGUGUCCCAGUUUUCCCGCAUCCCCUCCAACAUUCAUCAUUAUUUUUUCCUGUCAUCUUAGCCAAUCUGACAGGUGUGUAGUGGUAUCUCAGAGUUGUCUUAAUUUGCAUUUCUCUGAUCAAUAAUGAUUUGGAACACUCUUUCAUAUGAGUGGUAAUAGUUUCAAUUUCAUCCUCUGAAAAUUGUCCGUUCGUAUCCUUUGACCAUUUAUCAAUUGAAGAAUGGCUUGAUUUCUUAUAAAUUUGAGUCAGUUCUCUAUAUAUUUUGGAAAUGAGGCCUUUAUCAGAACCUUUAACUGUGAAGAUGUUUUCCCAGUGUGUUGCUUCCCUUCUAAUCUUGUUUGCAUUAGUUUUGUUUGUACAAAGGCUUUUUAAUUUGAUGUAAUCAAAAUUUUCUAUUUUGUGAUCAGUAAUGGUCUCUAGUUCAUCUUUGGUCACAAAUUUCUUUCUCCUCCACAAGUCUGAGAGAUAAACUAUUCUAUGUUCCUCUAAUUUAUUUAUAAUCUCGUUCUUUAUGCCUAGGUCAUGGACCCAUUUUGAUCUUAUCUUGGUAUAUGGUGUUAAGUGUGGGUCCAUGCUAAAGUGCAAAUUUAAACAAUUAUUAAGUCACAUCCCACAUCCAUAAAAAUGGCAAUGACAGAAGAUGGAAACAG